rnacentral:rRNA from 1 species
AACCCCGGUUGAUCCUGCCGGACCCGACUGCUAUCGGGGUGAGACUAAGCCAUGCGAGUCUGCCCCCUCAGCCAUGGGAGGGGGCGGCGCACGGCUCAGUAACACGUGGCUAACCUACCCUCAGGACGGGGAUAACCCCGGGAAACUGGGGAUAAUCCCCGAUAGGUGAGGGAUCCUGGAAUGGUCCCUCGCCGAAAGGGCUCUCGGACCAUGCUUCCGAGAGCCGCCUGAGGAUGGGGCUGCGGCCUAUCAGGUAGUUGGUGGGGUAACGGCCCACCAAGCCGAUAACGGGUACGGGCCCUGAGAGGGGGAGCCCGGAGAUGGGCACUGAGACAAGGGCCCAGGCCCUACGGGGCGCAGCAGGCGCGAAA